UAAUAGCGUAUAUUUAAAUUGUUGCAGUUAAAAAGCUCGUAGUUGAAGUAGGAGAUACAGAAAGGAUGCAAGGCUGGUCUUCAAAAGCCAGUUUUGUGUUCUUGUUUGAGGAAAGAGAGAAUAAAUCUUUUCUUUCUUCAAUGUAUUUUUCCUUAACGUGAAUACAAUGACCUGCAACAAUUCGAAAGGAUUGCUUUGUAGUUUAAAGUCUGUAUUCAUUUUACCAUAAAUAAAAUAGAGUGUUUAAGGCAGGUCAACAACAGACCAUUGAAUAAUUGAGUAUGGGAUAAUAAAAGACGAAAGAAGGAAAAUGUGUGCUUGAGGAUUUCAUUUCAGUUUCGGCUGUUUUGGAGUUCUUGUUUUUCUUCUUUAAUGAUAAAUAGGGACAGUUUCGGGGCUAUCCAUAUUUCUAUUCGAGCGGUGAAAUGCAUAGACAAUAGAAAGAUGAACUAAUGCGAAAGCAUUUUGCAAGGAUGUUCUCAUUAA
rnacentral:rRNA from 1 species